AGUGCCUGUCUCACUGACCCUAUGAAGGAGAAGGAUCUGCAGAGCACAUUCUCAGGACAUCUACCCAUGAGGCUGGUGGGACUCUUGUGAUUGCUACUUGAAUUGGAAUAAUCGGAACGGACACAUGUAAAAGGAAUGCAGAAGGACCAGACAGAUCUCUUCAAAUGUAAACCUAUGACUUAAAAUUCAGUUUCAUGAGCACUGUGGGAGACCUGAGUUUUUAACAGCUGGAGCCAAUAGUGAAGAUAGAUCUGGAAAUUUAAUUAUCCAUGAGUCCUGAGCCACCUUGUAGGAAGUCCAGUUAUCCUAAAGUCAGACUGCUGGAGAGACCAUGUGAAAACACUCCAUAGAAAUGGAGUUGUCCAAGGAGCCAGUUGUUCCAGCCCCCAGCUGACUGAGUCUUCC
rnacentral:lncRNA from 1 species